CUUGAGCUCACUUUGUAGCCCAGGCUGGCCUCCAAAUCGCAGAGAUCAUCCUGCCUCAGCCUCCUGAGUGCUGGGAU
rnacentral:miRNA from 1 species